rnacentral:tRNA from 1 species
GGGGUUGUGUCUCAGUGGCUAGUGCUCUCCUAGCACGUGUGAGGCCCUGGGUUCAAUCCUCAGCACCACA